rnacentral:tRNA from 1 species
GCCCCUGUAGCUCAGUGGAUUAGAGCGCGACGUUGCGGACGUUGAGGCCGGAGGUUCGACUCCUCUCAGGGGUG